rnacentral:rRNA from 1 species
GGCUCAGGAUGAACGCUAGCUACAGGCUUAACACAUGCAAGUCGAGGGGCAGCGGGAUUGAAGCUUGCUUCAAUUGCCGGCGACGGCGCACGGGUGAGUAACCGCGUAUCCAACCUUCCGUACACUCAGGGAUAGCCUUUCGAAAGAAAGAUUAAUACCUGAUGGUAUGACUGAGAUCGCAUGGUAUCAUCAUUAAAGAUUUAUCGGUGUACGAUGGGGAUGCGUUCCAUUAGGUAGUAGGCGGGGGUAACGGCCCACCUAGCCUACGAUGGAUAGGGGGUUCUGAGAGGAAGGUCCCCCCACAUUGGAACUGAGACACGGUCCAAACUCCUACGGGAGGCAGCAGUGAGGAAUAUUGGUCAAUGGACGAGAGUCUGAACCAGCCAAGUAGCGUGAAGGAUGAAGGUCCUACGGAUUGUAAACUUCUUUUAUAAGGGAAUAAAACCUCCCACGUGUGGGAGCUUGUAUGUACCUUAUGAAUAAGCAUCGGCUAACUCCGUG